UACGUAGGUGGCAAGCGUUGCCCGGAUUUACUGGGCGUAAAGGGCGCGUAGGCGGAUAGUUUAGUCAGAGGUGAAAGCCCAGGGCUCAACCUUGGAAUUGCCUUUGAUACUGGCUAUCUUGAGUUCGGGAGAGGUGAGUGGAAUGCCGAGUGUAGAGGUGAAAUUCGUAGAUAUUCGGCGGAACACCAGUGGCGAAGGCGACUCACUGGCCCGAUACUGACGCUGAGGCGCGAAAGCGUGGGGAGCAAACAGG
rnacentral:rRNA from 1 species